rnacentral:rRNA from 1 species
AACGUAGGACGCAAGCGUUAUCCGGAGUCACUGGGCGUAAAGCGCGGGCAGGCGGCUCUGUAAGUCUGAUGUGAAAGCGCCCGGCUCAACCGGGCGAGGCCAUUGGAAACUUCAGAGCUGGAGGGCAGUAGAGGCAGGCGGAAUUCCGGGUGGAGUGGUGAAAUGCGUAGAGAUCCGGAGGAACACCAGAGGCGAAGGCGGCCUGCUGGGCUGCACCUGGACGCUGAACCGCGAAAGCCAGGGGAGCGAACGGG